UUAUAGAAAUUAAUUAAAAGUUUGUAGCUAUUGUUUUCUGUAGCUAUGGAAGAGCAAAAUAGCAUAAAAAGAAUGUCCUAGUUGUCUCUACUUUAAAAGUAUACGUGUCAUGGAAAAUUCAAGUCAUAGAGUGUCACACUAGGGCUAUUGUGUAAAAUCUAGGAACCAGCCUUACUUCAAUGAGACAAAAACAUGACUCCCAAAUCCUGUCAUUUAAAAUGUGUGAAAUCUAUAGAGUCUAGUCCUGCUUUACCAAUCCCUCACAAGAUAAGCCCCAAAGGAGUAAAGGGUGGGGUUUUUUGUUUUUUUGUUUUUUUCUCAUCAAAAGAAAUGAAAGAAGAAACAAGGGAAGGAACAAGAACAGAAAGGAGGAAAACACCUGCCGAUUAUUUUUUUGUGUGUGAGGGGGAGGAAUCUGCUAUUAAAGUACUCUGUUGGGACACAUUUUUACUUUUAUAUGAUGCACUUCAUCCAUCAACAGCACCAGCAAAAAUUUAAAGGCGACAAUUUUGAAAAGUUUGAUGCAUUUCUAAAGUUACAGGAGGAAAAACUUUUGGCAUCAAGAAACAUCCUUAGCAAUAUCAGCAUUUUAUCAGCAUGAAAAUAUGUUGUCCAGCCAGUGUUUUAGUUGGAGUUUUGAAAGCAAUUCACUUUUGUCUUCAUGAGUUAAAAGUUUCUCCUUUUCCAAUAAGAUGGACAUUAAUAGCUUCUUGGUUUGUUAAAUGUGAGAAAAAGCCAUACAUUUCAGGUUACAAAUAAUGCUGCUCAGUACAAAAGAGAUGGGGGAUUGUGCCCUUUGGACUUCUGCAUGAAGCUGGGGUCUGUGCAGAUUGUUGGAAAGGCAAAAUGCCUAGCAUGACUGUCAGCAAUCAAAACAAGUCAGAGAGGAUAAAAGACAAAUCCAAGCACUGUUGAGAGAGCAAGGAACAUUAUUGUCGUGGUUCCUUGCAGGUAAAAAGCUGUAGAAGGAAAGACAAUUGUCGCCAGCUUUUUAAUCGGGAAAUGGGACUUCAGUCAUGAGAUUCUGUCUUUAAAAGCUCUUAAAUUCAAUCAGAUCUCUCAAAUCUUGGGGUAUAUAAAAGAAUCACUGUGUACAAAAUAAUAUCCUGUAAGGAGGCAAAAUUUCUUUCUCAUUGGGACUGAAUUGACUGGGAAGUCUAAGAGGAAGAAUCUUGAAAUUUGUCUUCAAAAAGCCAUUUUUAAUCAAAGAUUUUAUUGAUCCUUAAAAUUCUUGAGCUCAAAGCUGACUCAAUCUAGAGAAAAAAAUAAUUAAAUUAAGGUUUUAUGUGAGGCCCUUGUACAUUUGCUUCAUAUCAUAUGUCUCUUUUGAGACCAUGGAAUACUACACAAGAUUUCCCUUUCAUGGAGGAUGUGCCAGCUGGUAAUAUUAUGCUUUCUUUUUAAUUGCAACUCAGUGGUGUGUUGGCCUGUAUGUCACUGCCCAGCCUCAAUCUUUAUUUAUAAUAUACUCUAAACUUUGAUUAAUCUUUUUAACAUUCUUCUUCAUCAAACUACUGCUCUUUUUUUUUCUUUUAGUUUGGGUUUUUGGGUUUUUUUGUUUGCUUCUGUUUUGUUUUUCAGUCCUUGCUGCCUUCAAUGUGUAUCAGUGACUGCGUUUGUUCUGACAGUUCCUAGGAAGCUGAGCCAGGUGUCACAUUUGUUUUCUGUUUUCUAAUGCAUUUUCUGUUAUAUUUCUCUGGGUUAUGGAUUUUUCUGUAAGUAUAUGGGCAUAUGUAUCUCCACAUAUGUAUACAUAUAAAUAUAUGUACAUAUGUACGUGUGUGCAUGUAUUUCUGACAUGUCUCUGUUAAAUAUCUGCAGAGAUAUUGCACCUAGAAUAUGUGCACUUUCUUCCUUCUACUUAAUCUUACCCCAGUCUCUUAUAUUGAAUGUGUUAAGAGCCUGCAGGGAAAGAGAGAAAACCAACAAAAAAAGAACCAAAACCAACAAACAAAAAUGUUUUUCAGUGGUUUGUACUACACAAACAUUUUGGGAGGUCCUAAAUAGAAACAAUUUUGCUACAUGUAAGGCAGGGUGUCUGCUAAUGGACUUCACAAUGCCUGCCAUAGCAUGUGGCGCUUUUAUCUGGACUUCAGGCCUGCCUUGAUUUCUGCUAAAGCCCAGUGCAGUCUCUCCUAAUCUGCCUGUUCUCUAAGUUUAGCAAACAGUCUUGUGUGAAAAUCUACGGCAGUCCUUCAUCCCGACAUUAUGGAGGUCUAACCUGACUGGAGGCCAGGAAGCAGUCUUUAUCUCAAAAAAAUACUUCCAUUUGCAUUGUAGCACUACAAAGAACCUAUGGGAAAGAAUUCUCAUGGCAAAACCUCCCAAUUUUACCUGCUUAUCUACUGCUAACUAUAAACAAAACAACAAUUUUGAUGUUAAUUAUAAAUAGGAAGUUGGUUGGUUAUUUGCCUUAUUAGAUGUGUAAUGGCCUAACUGUAGAUUUAGUGGCAGAAUUCAAUCUCAUAUUACUAGUGACUAAAAUGUGUUUCUGCUUCUCUUGUGAACACAUACUACAGCAAAAAAGCGAUCACCAGAAUGGAGACUGACUUACAAUCCUUUCUGACAUUUCAUAGAGAGUCCAAGGAAAAACUGGAUAUGGUGAAUAAAUUCUAAAAACUGGAUAUGGUGAAUAAAUUCUAUUUCCUUCAGAAAAAGUAGUUUCUUCUGUCCAGAUUGUUUUAUUUUAUUGCUGGAUGAGUGCAUCAGAGAAAAUCUGACCCCAGAAACAUGAACUUUGAAAGGGACAAUAAAUACUUCUAUAUUUGCAACAAAAUCAUUAGAACAGGCAUGACCUAAAAGUUUGGUUCUUCUACAGACAAUUUUCCUUAAGGAAUCUCAUGGCUGGUUGGUGCUCCUUGGGAUGUGAAAUAAAUUUUUGGUCCCACUGAAGCUCGUUCAAUCAAAUGUACUCGUGCAGUCUGUCAGAGCUAAAAUGUCACCUCUUUUACACCUCUUUUUAUCAUAUAGAAUAACUAGCUCACAAAAUAUUUAUUUUCUUUGUUUCCUGAUUCACAAUUGCCUUUUGGCUACUAAGUCUGUAGGUAUAUAAUAUUUUUUUAAUCAGGAUAAAUAUAGUUUCCCUUUUGAUUCCUGUAUGUAUAAAUUUCCCCCUCUAGGUUUUUUCCUUAGAACAUCUAUAUAAAGUUAAGUAUGAUUGCAUUUUUUUUUCCUAAAUAAGUUCAAAUUGCAUGCUGGAUAUUACAAAGUAAUCAGUAUUUUCUGAUUUUCAGAUUGCUAUGUUGGCAUAUUACAAAUAUUCUAUGAUAAAAAGUUUCUACUUACUUAUUUUGACUUCUAUAUUAAUAACCAGCUGUUUCUAGUCUGACUGGUUAUUGAAAAAUCUACUAUUCAGGUUGUUUCAUUUAUUUUUUUCACCUUUGUCUCACCUCAUCAUCUUGUAGGAGUAGUUCAUGGUAUUUAUAACUUUCCUACAAUCCAUUACAGAAAAAAAGGAUGAAAUUACAAUUUCCAAGUCUCUCCUUUAUAUUUUUCCAGGUGCAGUUUCAUAGUUAAGUGUAGUUGUUGACUUCUACAUGCAGGUUAUUUCUGCUAAGUGUUUCAAGUUUUCAUGUGUUUUGAUAUAUACUUAGGUCAUCAUGGUUUCCUUUGGGUCUUACUAAUUACAGACCAACAGCUUCACUUAAUUCCAGCUUCGUGAGAAAUAAAUCCAUGUAGAAUUCAACAGGAAUACUCAGUAUCUACUAUCUGUACUUUUCUGCAGAGCCCUUCUUAAAAGAAGAGGACAUCUCCUCAAAAGAUUAGGAAUCUCCCUCUUCUUUUCAGUCGUGUGACCUGAAACCUUAGAUCUGAUACACGUGAACAUGGAAGGAGUGAUUUUGAUGCAGACCUGGGCAUUUUGGGUAAUCACAGGUACAGUUAUCAAGUAGUUUUUUUACACACAUGGACACCCUUUUUAAAAAGAAAGUGGAGGUUUUGUAUCAUUCUUACAUAGCAUUAGGAAGUGUCGCUGGCCAAUAAAGAAUUAGAUGAGCAGAGAAAGCAUCCUAAACAGAAGGUGGCAAAUAUUUGUUAAAUAACUCAGCAUCAGUACCUGCCCAUAUGUAGUGUAUGUCUGGAAAUAUUGAACUCCACAAAUCAAUUUAUAGUAGGGCUUAUCAAAAAGAUGCAGAUGGGAUACAAACCCAAAAGUCAUCUUCUUUGAAACAUACUGGAAUCCUUGAGGUGAAUAUUCUCCUUGCAUUUAUUUCUAGCUACCAAAUGGUCUUGAAGUCUGAACUACUGCCUGCAGCUUAAAACUGCAAAAGAGAAACUUUCUAAAAUAAAAAUGUGUUAGUCUGCUAACACAAUGCUACACUGGUAUUGCCACUGAACAUAGGCAAUAAAAUUUGCCACCUACCAAUAACAUGUUGCAUUCCAGUAUUAAAAAGAGAAACAUCAUCUUUUAGCAAGUCCAUCUUGUGGGUCUUGCAAAUCAGGCUCUAUGCUUUCAUCAGAGUAGAAAUAUUUUCCGAGUGAUUAUACAAAUACAGUUGAAGUGUUAAGGACACUUAAAAAGAUGGCUUCUAAGAAAAGAAAAACAUUCUACUACCAUUUUGGAAAGAGCAAUUUGAAGUGUCUUCUUACUGCAAAAGAAAAACAACAAAAUAAUCUCAAAAUUGAGUAGGAUUGGUUAAUAUAUUUUUAUCAGUGUGUUAUCUCAGGAAUGCUCUCUGUGCACAGAGAUUUGGUGUUAGGACUGUUUGGUAUCUUGUAAUGGACAUUCAUUGCUCACAUUUGCGAUGGGGAAGCAGCAAAAAUCUGUAGGCUGACCUUUAAAAAAAAUUAGACUAGUCUUGUGUUUUUGUAUUUCUGGAUGUGGGGAAAGCUCAGCCAUGCCUUGUACAUUAAUUUAAUCCCUCUCCUUCCAUGCUUCAGUUUCUUCAGUCAGUAAAAAUCCUAGAUGCAUAAACCAGCAGGAACAACAGCACACCCCAGGCACCUCUCUCAGGAGGAGAGUAGGAGCAGAAAGCACCCUGUUGAGUAUUGCCAACCCUUUACACCUAUUGCUUCUUCUGUUGCAAUGGAGCCCCCAGAGUCCUUGCAAAAUGUUAAUUUUCCUUUCAUGACAGUAAGACACAAAGCACAGGAGGAUGAAGCGAAGAAAAACCAACAAAGAAUAAGACAUUAGCAAUUAGUUCAGGUAUUUUUCACUCCCAUUAAAUAUUUCAGAAGGUGACCCAUGCUGAGAAAUUGUCAGCACUUCACCGCUGCAAUCAUGGCUCCAGUGGAAAUCUUAGUGAAGCUAAUGAGUGCUUUCAUGUACAGACGGCCUGUUGGAUUAGUGUCAUUACUCACUGUACAACCUGGGAGAGUGGCUGCAGCCAAGACAGGUGCCCUACCAGGCUAUGGACUACACCAGCACAUCACAAAGAACAGGUAUAACCCCCACCACAGGUUUCUUACAGUCCAGCUGUAGGCAAAGGAUAGGAGAAAAGAAGUGCCUUGGCUCCUUUUAGCUCCACACCAGAGCUCAGAGACAGUGAAAUAAUCAGCUGAAGGUCAUACAGAAAGUUUGUGGCAGAGCAAAAAAGUGAAUGCAGAGUUUUCCAGGUGAAAUCCCGAAGUUUCAGCUCCACACUGUUUUUUACUCCCAAUCAUUCAUAUGAGCCAACAAAGACCAUUUUUUGAGCAAUGCUGUACAGGGAUUGAGGCUGCCCAGCUGCUAUUCUUUCUCACAGCAUAUCUCCUUCACCAUAGCUUUCUUUAAAAGGCUGUAAGUUACUGACUAUAUGCAGGUAGCAAUAAUGAAUGAUAUAAUUAGCUAGAUAAUUCUGUUUUUCUUCAGUAAAAGCUUAAUAGUUUGUAUAAGAAAGGACUAGAUUCCUUUCAACUAUUGUUGUUCUAUGCAUAUGCUGAAACCACAAAGGACAUUGAUUAUUUUAACUAUGCUCAAUUUGCCUUUGAAACCAACAUUCUAAAAAGCAAAAGAGCUUAAACAAACAUGAAAGUAAUCUAAUACUGACAUAAACAUGAAAGAUAAUAAGAUUAUUAUGAAUUGAUCUAAAUAUUACUUAAAAUAAUUAGAAAUUAUUUUCCCAUGGUAUACCAUUUAAGUUAAGCAGCUUCUUAGUGUUACUUAGAAAAACAAGCACAGCAUUACUUCCCAGAAUUUUAGUUGGCUUUGUUUAUGACAUUCAGUAAAACAAUGGGCAAAUAUGCAUUUCUCUUUAUUGCUUUAUAUUUUGCAUACAGUUUGUAACCAACUCUAAGUUUUGUACCAGUUAAUUUCGUAAGGGCAGAAUUGUUGCCAUUUUAAUACUGUAUCAUUUUAUUACUUUAAACCAUGAACCAAUUGAACUUUUUUUUUUCUUUCUUGGCACCAUUUCUUCUAGUUAAUUUUAUGAAAAGCAGUAACAUGAAGGAAACAAGUCAUGCUAAUAACCCUUGCAGCCACCAAACAAAAAAUGGCAUGCAUAGAAAAAAAUACCAGUUAAAUUUCAGUGCCAUUUGUCAAAUUAGCUACGGGGGCCAAUCUCCAAAUUAACUCGGUUUGGCUUGCUUUCACUGCCUCAGUCCCAAAUGAUUUAUUGGAAGUUUGGGUCUUGUAAGAAACAUAGCAUUUAUUUUUCUUCCUAAGGAUUAUCCAAGUUAUCUGAAUAUACUUAAAUUUUUGAAAAUAGGAUUAAAAGCUGAGAGCACUAGGUUUUCUCUCAAGAUUUAAAGAUCAGCCUGCCUUUAUGCAGUCUGACAACUGUUUUCUUUUGUAAUCUAAGAAGUGCUUUUCCUGAUUAAAAGGAAACAAAAAAUAUCAUUUGGAUAAAGUAUUUUCCAUUAAUCAGUUAAAUAUUUUAAACACUUAAGUGAAUUUAAAAACGAAUACAAACAAAUCUAAGACAAAGUAUUAAUUAUCUUUUUGUUUUUAAAGACUGCAACUUCUACAUAUUUAUCAAGGUGUGUCAUUAGAUGUAAAUAUAGUUUCUCUUUGGCUGUGUUUGAAAAUCAGAGAGGAAAGACCUGGAGAGAGAUGUCAGGAAUUGCUCAUGAAGCACAAAAGACAGAAACAGUAACAAUUUAGAAGAGAAAGUUUUCAGACUUGAGUCUGAAACAAAAGGAACCUGACACAUGGCAGCUGUAGGUGGGAGAAAGAAUAAUUGCUUUCUGGUCCCCCAACUUGUCAUUUGGCUCAUGGUGUUGGGACCCCUCAUGACGGGCAUUUGACUUUCCAGGAGCAAGAAAAGGCAAAGGUUCUUAGGCCUUCUGAAACCUAAGAAUAGCCUUAUACCAAGAUGACUUUCAAGGCAGCAUCAUCACAAAGGGAGCUCCAUGAAAAUGGUCCUUAAAAUAAUUAUCUUCCGAGGUCUGGCAUGGAAUAAUUGUGGAAAGGAAAACAGAGAAGACAGGACGAGAAGUGUACAAUGGAAAUGAAAGGGAAAAAAAUAACACUAUGUUCCCUUGGGUGAAUACAGAAAAACCAUCUAUUUUUUAGGAGACUCAAAUACAAGAGUCAGAUUCCUAUUCUCCUGUUGUCCUCCUCCCAUGCUAUAUCACCACCACCUUCCUUUAUGUCUUAUGUAUCUGCAUUUCCUAUAUGCCUGCUUCUCCCACAGAAAUGCCCCAGAUCCUAGAAUUUCAUAGAAAGGGCUGUCACAGUCUUGCUACACCAGAGCUGUAAUGCUUGUCUUAAGACAUCACAGGUUUAAAAAGCAAGGUGUGUUCAUCUCACUUACGAGGUGAACACUUGGUGGUCAGGAGGAGAGCUUCUGUCUCACACCACGGAGAAGAGCUUUUUACUGCCUAGAAGUUCUGAGUGCAUCCCAAUUGACACUAAACACAAAUCUCCCACAAAGGUGACUUAAUCCAUGGGGUAGUGAAUAGGUAUCUCUUAAUCUCUCCCUCUGGAAGUGCUCUUCUUCCUGUACAUAAUUAACAUUCAUCUCUGCAGGGACUGUGACUGGAUUCUCCCACAUUCCAGGGGAGUACCCUGACCAUUGGACUGUAGGAUUUGUUUGUAAUUUCCCUCUUUCUUCUAGCCCAGUGACUAUUUCAUUACUUUUACACACAGGCGUGCAGACAAACACAGGGAAUCAUACACUCACACAUCUAUAGAAUAGUAUCCAUAAGUAUACUUUUCACAGCAAAUGCUUUUUUCCUACAAUUGGAGAACUGCAAAAAAUAUUACAGAUGCCCUGUGUUCAUUUAAGAAAAACCCAACAAAACCAACACAAAACCUCUAAAAUGGUGAAAUGAAAAAUUUUUAUGUUAGGAAGCAAAUUUCUUACCUAUUAACAUUACUACCUCACAAGUGGCUGAAACACAUCUUUGGCCUAUUGCAAUGACUCCCAGUAUGUGUAUAUUGAAGCUGUGCAAAAAAUCCUAAACCACAAGUAACUCCCCGGGUUUCAGUUUUUGUUAUAAGCUCAACACUCAGUUCAGGUUCACUGAAAGGACAUUACAAGCCUGGAAAGUCCAUGAAUGAUGUAAUGCAGACCUCUCACGUGGCCCACUGUGUUGUUGCAAGACACAGAAUAUUGACAGAUAGCACUUGCUCCUUAUUUAGGGGGCACUAUCAUUGCAGCACUCCAAAGACCCAGAGCUGUUUCAUGUAUACAUCACUAAAUGUAGACAAAAUGCAAGGAAAGACAGGGAGGCAACAAAGUUAUUAUUUUAAAGUGCUUGAAAAUAGGUCAGAGGAAGGAUGCUUAUGCGGCAAACUCCAGAAAAAGCAAGUUGGGUGAGGUGAGAUUUAUGGUACCCUAUGAGAUUUUAAUUCUGGUCCUGUGUGCAUCCAGUCUGUACUCUGAAAGAAGCAGGCAGUCUCAUGAAAAAUACCUUGCCACAACAUAAUUAAGGUCUGUAGCAUAAAAUAGGUUCACAAAGGAUCAAAAAAAUUUUGUUGAGGCAUCUUCUGUGUUCCUUCUGAGACAGAGCCUUAUGAACCUCUUCAGCUAAAUUUUUCUACAUACGAGUUAAAUAUUUUUUUUAAGAAGUAAAAAUCAAAAGUUUAUUUUAACACUAACCUCCAUGGAACACAGACCUAAUUGCUACAUAUUGGACAUUAAGAAAUUAUUUUCAACUACUUAAGCUGAACAUAGAAUUACAUAGAAUUGUGAAGAACCACACAAAGUGAUUGCUACCUCCAGGCAACCGUGGCCUACACUGGCUUUUAGAAAAAUGGGUAAUCUAGUUGCUGUCAGAAUACAACAGCUGUUCUAGUGGCCCACAACCAGAGUUUUCCUGAGGAAUCCAAGCUUAAAAACCAAAAUAAUAACUUGCAAGAGUUUGUAACUCAGCUGUUCAUAGGUGGACUAUUGUGGAAAGAGAAAAUCCACUUCUUCAGCCUACAGACUGAGUCAAUUGUUUGUUUUUUGCUUUUGAGGUUUUAUUUGAGGGGGAGAAUAUUGCUCCACUCAGACAAACUAUUCAGUUAUUUGUCACUAAUCCUGUACAAUUUCACUGAGUCUUUCUCAGGAGUUUUAUUCUCUCCUUGGAAAAGUCCUCAGCCACAAAGGAAAUACCCACUAAGUAAGAUAAGGACCAAGACAGGGAGAAAGGGGGUUCCUUCACAAUUACCAUGAAGGGACACUGUGUAGCUCUUUAAUGACUAUUUUGCUUGUCCAGCUCACAUCCCCAUUGCUCAGGAAAUAUAUUCAGUUGACAUAUUGUGCCGUUGGGGCAUCAGAUUCUUCAGUUCUUCCUCAGUUCUACCUCAGUUCUACCCUGUAGCCACUACUUAAGAGCUUUCCUGAGUUGGACACACCAACACACACACAAGGGAUUCUCCCCCUUCCACACACUCUUAAUCCAGCUCCUUUCUUUAGUCAGACAACAGAAGAGUAGAUUUGUCAGUAAAGGAGGUACAGUUUGCCUUCAAUCAUCUCAGAAGAGAGCUACCUUUAAAGCUUUUGUUUCUCUAUGCCCCUGGCAGAAAAUAGUUGAUAAAUUUAAUCUAAGAAAUGAAUUCCUGCUUAAAACUGUUAUUUGAUAGAUCUUAUUAUUCUGACUAUUCGACAGAAACCACUCCUGCAUGGUAGAUAUUAUUCUCACACAGUUCUAAUCCAUACUAUCUAGCUUUUGCACACAGCUUAGUAUUUUAUUAUAUAUAAAUUAUACAUUGUUUGUAUAAUCUAAUUAGGUAUUUUGCAAAUAAAUACAGAGCAGAAUUACACUGUCUGAACACUAAUGUAAAGGUUUGAAUACUUAAGGAAUGAAACAGUUGCUUACCAGAAUUUUCUGUUGCACUAAAUUAAACAUCCAGCUGGCAUAUUUAUGUGUAUCACAUUUUCUUUCUGUAAAAUAUUUUGUGAAGAUGCAUGAGAUAACAUUAGAAGAUAGGUGUUUAUAAUUCAAAAAAUGUCCUGCUAAUGCUGAAAGUAUUGACAUUUCUUCCUAAGGUUCUGACAGAAAAUACAAUACACUGUCUUAUGUCAAUUGAAUAAUUAGAGAUUAUAGUAAUUCCUGCAAGGCUUUCAUAUAUGUGGCACAGUCUAAGAAAAUUUCAAAAGAUGAAAUUUGCAUAAAGGUGCAUGUCAGGAAAACCAGGUGCCUCUUCUCCUACAACAAUGACAUACUAAAGAGAAAAAAUUAAAACUUCUCUGGGGAAAAGUGUUGGCAAUGCCCACAUAAACGCUGGGGAAAACCGGAAUUGUAAGUGGAGAAAGGACUUGUCAGUAUGCUCCACACCAUGCAGGGGAAGUGGUAUAUACAGACAAUAAUGGAGCACUUAGCAUCUUUGGAUUCAAAUACAGUAAUGAAAGAAAAUGAUAACCACUCACACUGAUUUACAAGAUCACUUCGACAAUUCUUAAGCAAAAAUAACACCUUUCAAACAUCAGUGACUUAACAUCACUUCCCUUUUCCUUUUUCCUUUUAAUAUUGUGUAUAUAUUUUAUGUGCAUUUUAUAUACAUUUGUCAGGAGAAUAUUAAUGUUCUGCUUUAUGAUUACCACCACCUUUCUAAUCAUUGCUUUUUAUUAUUCUUGUUCAGUACAGCUUAGCCGCCGAGCAUGAGCAAUGAAAUGGGGGGGAAAAGAAAAGCAAAUACUGUAUUAUAUCAUCAUCUGGGGAGCGUGAUUGUUUCUGCUGUGUUAAUUUACACUAAAAUCUAUGACCCAGUGAGUCUGAUUGAUUGCCAAGGGCAGAAAUCCAGCCCCUGGCCUAGUUUAUUUUGUGAACUGUAGCCUCAGAUAUCGCUGCAAGCCACAAUGAUAUUGAUUUGAUAUACACUAGAUGGGUCUUUAUGCUCUUUGGGAAAUUUAUUGUGCAGAGUCAGAACUCAGACAGAUGGGGAGAAGCUGCUCUUUAAAUUGAAGAGGGUUAUCAUGGUUUGACUCCUGGGUCACUCAGGUUACCAAGUGGCCUGAGUGUGGCUGGGUCGGAGCAGGCUCGAGGGAUUAGUGCUCAUCGGUUUUGAAUGUCAAAUCUCCUCAGUGGACUUGAGUUAUUGCUAAUAGGAACUUGCUUGGGCCUAUAACAUUUGGAUGGCCUAUAACUUAAACAUCAUAACCCUUUCUUCAUGUCAUGGUCCUUUAAAUUAUGGCUAAGCAUACCACCUCUGCUCUGGAUGUUUAGCAAGAGAUGGCUGUGUGUUAUAAAGAAACUUGCCUCCACAGUGGACUGCACCAUUGCAGCUCUGGUCUGCAGGAGAGCUGUACCCCCGCUCCAGCAUCACAGCAAUGUCCCCUGCCUUCUGCAGCUCCCACACCGUCACCACCCUGGCUUUGCACAGGAGAUACAGAAUAGUGAAAGCUAGAGCAUAGCUCUACUUUUCCCUGAAUUCAGUAUUUUUCCCUCAUGAGGGAAGAAGAGGAGGAGGUCUGGGAAAACUUCAGGUUGUGGGACAAAAAACCCUUGUCAUGGAAUCGCACAUUCUUUGGCAAUGAGUAAGUGAGGAAAACAAAAGGGCUUCUAACUUGGGAUAAGGAUUUAAGAGAUUUUUCUACAUAAAACAAGGCCAGGUCUGCUAUGAUUAGCCUAAGCCUGAACAGCAUUUUCACUUAAGCACUGCUAAUUGUUAAACAAUAUUUCAUGCUACUGUAAAUGCUGAAGAGACCAGGAAAAAUAAUAUCUAUGAAUUUAAAGGAACACAUUAUUCUAUAUUUCAUAAUACACACAAACCUUUUAAUUACCAAAGCAGAAACUCACUAUAUUUUAAUAGGUAUCAAUGACAAAGUUAUAAACUAUACACAGCCCACAUUUUCAGACUCAGUGUUUGAUCCUUUGAUUUCCUUUGAGAUCAAGAAAAGGAUUUUCAGUCUCAUUCAGAGAGAAAGGGAAUUAACCUGGAGGAAGUCCCACGUAUCCAAGAGAUGGGAGAGGGCUCUGUGCUGCCAUUACAGUGUGAAAGGGAAAUCUGUUCCCACUUUUACAAGUAGCUUCUGGCUUCCUAUGUACAAAAAUUAAGAGUUCUCCUCUAUUUCUCUUCAAUGAGUAUAUGUUUCACACAGGAACGAGAGAGUCAAGUUUGUUUUUCUUAAGUAGCUGUUUCCUUUUCUUGAUCUGAUUUUGUGCAACUGGGAAUCAAUAUUUUUAAAGGGAAAACAGUUCUCUCCAAACUAAAACUGCAACACUUAUUUCCAAUAAAAUAAAAGGGAAAAAAUAAAAUUAAAAGCCUUCUGGAAACACACAUAUAUUCUAUGUCAUUUUGCAUACCUAUACAAAACAAAGACAUCUCAUGACAUUAAUGGUAAAUGGCUUAGCCUAGUCUUUUGGACUCUAUUCUUGGCAAUACACUGCAGCUCUAGCUGUGUAUUACAGGUAUACUAGUACCAUUUAAAUAUAAUACCGCCUGGCUUGUAUUCUGGUCUGAAUUUCCUGGGAUUUUAUUCUUCAUUUGAAAUGAAUACUAAUUGAGAAAGUUACACAUUUAUAUAGCUCCUGAAGAGUAACACCCACUUCACCUAUCUCUCUAUUGUAAAUUAAUAUGUAGCAGAUGGUGAGCUGAGAUAGUUUGACAGCCUACUUACAGCACCAUCACUUUAACCUCGAUCUGAAAAAAAAAAAAUCCCAUUAGCUUUUCUGCUGUUGGGCUCUUAACCCCCCAAAGUAUCCUUAGUUAUCAUAUCAUGGGAUUUUCUGCAAUGCCAAGGAAGAAAAUAAUUAAAGAUACCCUCUUCCAUUUAAAUGCUUGUUCUAAUUUUACUGGGCAUAUCUUUUCCUCUUAACUUCUCCAAUAAUUUCAAUUUAAAUCUUCAUUUAGAAUGAGAUUUUUCUUCCAAGGGGAUUUUUUUUAUCUUCAGGGACAACUUAGUGCGCUGCAGAAGCAAACACAGAAGCCCUUCCAUAUAUUAUGAUUAAUGUGGUGUAAGGAGCUCUCCUUGCUAGAAAUGCAGAAUCAAAGGAAGCAGAGCCCAUAAGUAGAAUUUAAAUUCAAUACACAUUGGAAUCUUAUGGUCCAAUUCAAAGUGGCUCUAAAGGAAAUAAUUAGACACUCACCAAGGCUUUCAGUAAGUAACAACUUUCCCUAAGAAGGGCCUGCUCAAAGUCUUCAUUUAAAGUACUCAGUCACUUUUUUCCCCUCCACUCUUUCCAACAGAGAAAGGAGAAAGAGUUUUUGAAGAUUUGGGAGUCUGUAUUAAAAGCUUUACAUUUAAAUCUCCCUUAAAAUAAAUGGUUUAAUUGAAUGUUUUCUUCUGAUGGACUGAUAGAAGUGCUUUAUUUGUUGCAGAAUAUAAGUGUAUAGAUCAUUGUCAGAGAUUUGCAAAGUCAUUGAUAGUGUUUAUUUAAGACUCUUCCACACGGACUGAAACAAGAUAUUGUUCACUCCCACAGCAUUGUUCACAUGCUGUUGUUUGGGGGAUUAGAAGUGUAGGAGAAAAUUCUCAGUUACUCUGAAACAGUAUCUGGGCUGGAAGCCUCACAUGUGCAAGAUAACAAUGUCCCAUAAUGUGCAAGCUUGAUAGUACAUGAUUGUCUUAGGCCACUACAUUCACAGCAUCCAAAAUGUUGCCUUAACCCAUGCACAUGGAUGAAAACUUGUAUUAGAGUUUGAUUUCUGUUCAAAUCUCCUAUUACACGAGAGUGUGAAUGGAAAUUUUCAGCUUCAUCAUUCAUCUCCACAGCUCUUCUUGACUCUGGUGAUUUUAAUACACACACAUGCACCCAAACCCAGGCCCAAAUAGAUUUAGUCUCUUUUUCCCUUCUCACAAGUAUUUACAAAAACAAAAUGCUGACUUACACGUACAUAUACUAAAGACUGUCUCAUUCUGGCAUAUAGAGAAGGAAUUAACAUUAAAAAUAUCACAGAUGCUUUCUGUUUGGAUGUCUCUUUCCAUUGUGAGUGAAUGUAAAACGUGUCUGCCCUCAUGUCUGAUGCCUGAAGACCAGGGAUGUUUCAAGCUAUUACCACACUAGUGGCAUCACCUGUGGUGCAAUCAGAAAAAUGUCCUCUUUUUGAAUAUUUUUGAAGUCUCUUCUGCAGUAUGAAGAACGUUUUUCUCUGGAUAGCUACUCCACCAAUGAAGGGCAAGAGAAAUUAUAAACUGCACUCACGGGACACCCAAACCAGCUCUAACCCUUAUAAACUACUUGGAGUGAUGGCAACUGCCAUUCCCAACCAAGCAUUGCGAAGGCACAGACGAGAGCAGCUGGCCAGGGAACUGGAGCGGCACGGAGUAGUCGUGAGCCUCAGAUUGGGAAGGAUGAAUUUCACCCCAGCAGGCCCUUUACACAACCAGUGCACAGACCCCCAAUUACUUUGCCUCAUACGAGUGCAGGAGAUUGAAUUUCACCCAGAGAAUUAGAAAUACAAAUAAACAUUUUAUUAAAUAAUUAGAGCCCAUAAUUGUGGAUUACCUUUCAUUUGUAUUAGAGGAAGGCCUGGUAUGGUCAGACCCCAGGAUCUUGUUUGGUGUUUACGUCACAUCUGAUUUCUAACAGACAUUUCAGAAUUGUUUAUUUUCUUUCAUUCUAUUUCUUUUCCUAUUAAAAUUGAUUCCAGAUAUCAGAAAAAUAAUUAAUUUCCCCUCACCCUAUAUUGAGACAGCAGGCUGAAAUAGCAGAUCAAGAACAACUUUAAUUUCUUUCUAAUAAGAAAGUACUUUACUUAUUUAAUUGUUAACUUUUAAUACUUUCUCUUUGUAAGUCUGAGAGGUAACCAAAACAUUUUUAGCUGUUUCCCCAGUUUUAUAUACUAUGGAGAAUGUCAGUAACGUCCCUUAACACACGUCCAAGUAACAUAAUAAAGUCCCCAUAUUUCAGAAUAGCAAUGUCAGCAGGAGGCUUAAAUAUGACUUUGAAAUGCUUUCAAUCUCUUGCUCUAAAUAAGGUAAAUAGGUCAUGAUUUUUAAUAACACUUAGUGUACUUGCGGCUGAUUAAAACUUUAUUCCUUAUUUGAAAAGUCUAAUUUGGAUCUCAGUUCAAAUUUUUAGAUGAAACUCUGCUAAAAGAUUUUGAGCUGUGAUCCUUUACACAGGGCUGGUGCUGUGAUUUCCCAGGAGUUAAGGAAGAGCAGGGACUCAGUCACUCUCGGAGAGAGUGGAAAGAUUCCAUUGCUGGGGAAAACUGCUCCCAGUCAAACUUUUCCAGAAUUUCCUGUCUGUAUGGGAAGAUAGUGAGCUGUCUAUUGCUGCAAAUAGCACAGGUUUGUGAAAGGCAAGCUGAGCAAAGCACUUUUAAAGAACAAAGUCUACUGCAAGGGUUGUGCCCAGGACCAACAUGUUCUUCAAGCACUUGGGGAUGGUCUUGAAGGCAAGAAUCAGAUCAAAGAAGUCAACUAAGGCCCCCAGACCUAAUGCUGAGCUUUUAAAUGCAGAAACAGAGGCCUUAAUAUUUUUUAAUGAACUUGAUUAUUUUUCUAUUUUAAAUUUAUACAACAAGGAAUGGCUAGAACAAUGCCACCUGUAGCGCUACUGAUAACACUUCAAAUCCCCACCUAAACUUGAAAAUGUAGCCUUUGUGAUGAACCAUGGUGGCUAUUCAGAGGUGCAUCAAUUGGAAUUACCUGACAAGAAUGACAGUGGCUUCACCAUUGCUAAAAGUGUGAAUGAAUGCAUUAGCCAAGUGCAUGUAAAAUUCAGAAAGAAUACUAACAGAGUGAGAUGAACUUGCAUGGUCUUCUGUGUAAAAUAAACCUUGCCCAAAUUA